AUACGUAGGUGACAAGCGUUAUCCGGAUUUACUGGGCGUAAAGGGCGUGUAGGCGGUCUUGCAAGUCAGAAGUGAAAUUCCUGAGCUCAACUCGGGCGCUGCUUCUGAAACUGCAGGACUUGAGUGCUGGAGGGGAUAGCGGAAUUCCUAGUGGAGCGGUAAAAUGCGCAGAUAUUAGGAAGAACACCGGUGGCGAAGGCGGCUAUCUGGACAGUAACUGACGCUGAGGCGCGAAAGCGUGGGGAGCGAACAGGAUUAGAUACCCUGGUAGUCCACACUGUAAACGAUGAAUGCUAGGUGUAGGGGGUAUCGACCCCUUCUGUGCCGCAGUCAACACAAUAAGCAUUCCGCCUGGGGAGUACGGCCGCAAGGUUGAAACUCAAAUGAAUUGGCGGGG
rnacentral:rRNA from 1 species